ensembl:lncRNA
CGGAGGAUGCGGUGACAUACCGGCAGUUUGUGCGCCAGUGCCAUGAGCGCUCAGCGGCGCGCUGGCACAACCUGAGGGCCAUGAGGGCGCAGUGUGAGCAAGACAUGGCCGCUCUACAGCGCAGCAAGGACGUGCAUCGCCGCAUCCUACUCAAGGAGCAGAAGAGAAUUCUAUCCCAGCGGAGCAGUGUGAAGCUGUUCUGCCAGAAGCUCUGCCCUGAUGCCACCGUAAGCUCCACUGACUGAGGAGGAGGCAAACUUGCUCUCUGAUAGCUCUUACACUCAGUAGAGGCAGCAGGGAAUGAACUAAUGACUUCACGCAGUCUGCAAUUACUGACUCACUUCCUGUGGGCUUUUGUCCAGAUUGGGGCAUUCCAUCACUG